GAUGAACGCUAGCGGCAGGCUUAACACAUGCAAGUCGAGGGGCAGCACGGGUAGCAAUACUUGGUGGCGACCGGCGCAAGGGUGCGUAACGCGUGAGCAACAUGCCCGUAUCAGGGGGAUAAUCCAUGGAAACGUGGUCUAAUACCCCAUAGUAAGUUUUUGGGGCAUCUCAAAGAUUUUAAAGCUUUGGUGGAUACGGAUUGGCUCGCGUCACAUUAGCUAGAUGGUAAGGUAACGGCUUACCAUGGCUACGAUGUCUAGGGGUUCUGAGAGGAAGGUCCCCCACACUGGAACUGAGACACGGUCCAGACUCCUACGGGAGGCAGCAGUGAGGAAUAUUGGACAAUGGAUGGAAAUCUGAUCCAGCCGUGCCGCGUGCAGGAAGACGGCCCUAUGGGUUGUAAACUGCUUUUGUAUGGGAGCAAUAAGAUCUACGUGUAGAUUGAUGAGAGUACCAUACGAAUAAGCACCGGCUAACUCCGUGCCAGCCGCCGCCGUAACAC
rnacentral:rRNA from 1 species